CUUGCUUCUCUUGAGAGCGGCGGACGGGUGAGUAAUACCUAGGAAUCUGCCUGAUAGUGGGGGAUAACGUUCGGAAACGGACGCUAAUACCGCAUACGUCCUACGGGAGAAAGCAGGGGACCUUCGGGCCUUGCGCUAUCAGAUGAGCCUAGGUCGGAUUAGCUAGUUGGUGAGGUAAUGGCUCACCAAGGCUACGAUCCGUAACUGGUCUGAGAGGAUGAUCAGUCACACUGGAACUGAGACACGGUCCAGACUCCUACGGGAGGCAGCAGUGGGGAAUAUUGGACAAUGGGCGAAAGCCUGAUCCAGCCAUGCCGCGUGUGUGAAGAAGGUCUUCGGAUUGUAAAGCACUUUAAGUUGGGAGGAAGGGCAGUUACCUAAUACGUGAUUGUCUUGACGUUACCGACAGAAUAAGCACCGGCUAACUCUGUGCCAGCAGCCGCGGUAAUACAGAGGGUGCAAGCGUUAAUCGGAAUUACUGGGCGUAAAGCGCGCGUAGGUGGUUUGUUAAGUUGAAUGUGAAAUCCCCGGGCUCAACCUGGGAACUGCAUCCAAAACUGGCAAGCUAGAGUAUGGUAGAGGGUAGUGGAAUUUCCUGUGUAGCGGUGAAAUGCGUAGAUAUAGGAAGGAACACCAGUGGCGAAGGCGACUACCUGGACUGAUACUGACACUGAGGUGCGAAAGCGUGGGGAGCAAACAGGAUUAGAUACCCUGGUAGUCCACGCCGUAAACGAUGUCAACUAGCCGUUGGGAGUCUUGAACUCUUAGUGGCGCAGCUAACGCAUUAAGUUGACCGCC
rnacentral:rRNA from 1 species